rnacentral:lncRNA from 1 species
CCAUUUUGACAUUAUGUUAAUAGUCAACAAAGCUGCGUAUUCGGAUUAUAAUGUUGGUUUUGUCGCUUCUAGUGUUCGUACUAUUGGUAUAUGAUAGUCACGGGGAAACAUCUACAUGUGAUAGAAAAAUAGAAUCCCUUCGCAAAGACUUGUUACGAUUGGAGAAUGAGAACAAAAUAAUGACAGCGCAGUUGUCAGAUUUUCAAAGAAUUAAAUCGGAGAUAAACAAAAUGUCAGAUGAUAUAGUCGAAUUACGCUCUACGCGUAAGUAUCUUAAUUGUUUUCAAAUUUUUCUUUGUCUUGUUUUUCUUCUUAAUAAAAUACAUUAGCAUACAAUGUACGAAGAACUUAUUGAACAAUAAAUCCUAUAGAUAAAAAUGUGACCGACAUUGCGGAUGAAAACUUUGGCAGCCACUGGAAACUGAGGGGGUGUUUGAUAUGGAUAAAAAAAAAUCUGUCUCGCUAACGACCAACUUCGAACCCUUUAAAAAAUGUGUUGCAAAAUGUCCUUUAAAAUGAAAGAGUACAGUUGAGUCAUGAAGGGAAAUAAUAGUUUCCACUACAACACGCUUUAAGAAGUGUUUUUCGUGUCAUGCGGUGGGGUUUUGCUAACAGUUAUUCGGCAAUAAAUUUUAUUGACAGAUUGGGAUUUUCCUAUGAACACCAUUUGUGACUCUUAAUAACGGACUCUAUGGAUCACAUGUGUAUGGUCAGAUUCGAAACAAUCCGUGUAAAUUAAGUUUAAUAGAAAAUUUGAGAAAAAAAAACCUUCAUGAUUUUGUGAACGGAGAGAAUGAUUCAUAUUAGAAAAUCACAAUUUUUUUCCUCCCAGAUUCGAAUCCGGGAUCUUUAUGUUUCAGGUCAGCUCUCUAACCAAAAGAGCUAAAUAAGAAAUUCCUAGCUUAUCCGAUUCAGCCUGACUAAUUAUAUACUACUUGUCAUGUUUUGAGUUUUUUGUCAGAUUUUUCGAAUCCUCUUUUAUUUGAUGCGUUUCCCUCGUUAUAGUUUGUAACCCGGAUUUGUUUCUUUUAUUAAUCGAUUUAUGAGUUUCGAACAGCGGUAUAGUACUGUUGCCUUUAUUCAUCCAUUUUAAUGGCUUAACAGUUUUUGCCCGUUGACCCCCAUUUUUCUGUUUAUUAAUCUUUUACUUGUAUAAUUAAUUAUAAGUCAUUGGUAAAUAAAAAUAUAAAAUCCUUGUUAUUUUUUAAUAGUUUUGAGAACUUUAAUUUGUCAAUGAUAAAUCUAUGAAAAAAAUCAAGAGAGAACAUUUCCCCGCCAAACUUUCAAUGGCUAAUAUCUCGAAAACAAUCACAUUGACCUAUAUACAUAUUUUUUUUUUGCAUUUUUGGUUCCUUUAUUUAUCCCCUAUCAAUAUAUACUAGUGUUAUGAAAAACUUAUUUCGAAACUGAGAAGCGAACCUCCUUAAGCACAGUAAUCCCGUCGGUCACCCUUUUCCCAUCUCAAGAGUAGUCAUACCAUUAUGACCUUUAACAAGACAUCAUCUAGUAAGAUAUCAUCUCUAUUGCCAUCGUGGUUUUUUUUUAGAAGGGCGCGAAAUGUUACUAAAGAGCAUAAUAAAUUUACAUUUAAAAUCAAAUCUUUUUCACCUGGAUUUCAUGUUGCCGUGCUAAGCAUACCUCAACUCGUAUUUCAAAGUAUCAAAAAGAAGUUAUAUUGACAGAUCGAUUUGAAAACUGUAAAAGCGUAAUAAUUUACCUCUAUUGCAUGGACCACUACAUGUCCACAUUUGAGAUCAUUUUGUUCAGCAGUUGCUGGGGAUAUGUGACAAAAAUGUUUAAGUUAAUUCAACAAGGUGAAAAAGUUCAAUGGAUCGGCAAACAGGAAGAAAUUUUUGUACAGAUCCUAAAAAAAUACACGUUACAUUUAUUAUAUAUAUAUAUAAUAUACGAUGUAGACUGAUGGGUGUUGUCCCCUGUCUUGAUACCUACGCUCAAGGCUAUCGAUCAGAUUUGAGACAUAUUCAUCACAAAAUUGAGAAAGGAAAUGGGGAAUGUGUCAAAGCGGCAACAACCAGACCAUAAAGCAGACAACAGACGAAGUCCACCAAUGGGUCAUUAAUGUAGCGAGAAACUCCAGCACCCGAAAGUGUCCUUCAGCUGGCCCCUUAACAAAUAUGUAUACUAGUACAGUGAUAAUUCACAUCAUACUAAAUUCCGAAUUACAGACAAGAAACUAAAAUUAAAAAUCAAACCAGACUAACAAAGGCCAGAGGCUCCUGACUUGGGAUAGGCGUAAAAUUGCCGCCGGGUUGAACAUGUUUAUGAGAUUUCAACCCUCCCCUAUACCUCUAACCAAUAUAGCAAAGUAAACGCAUAACAAUACUUACAUAUACAUAUCAGUCUAUAUAUGAUGUCAUUCUUUUCAUAAUUUUCUGGGGAAUAUAAAGGCAACAGUAGUAUACUGCUGUUAGAAAAGUAUGACGAAAAUAUUGUGUGUGACGAACGGCCAGACGAAUAAGAUGCAUUCAUUGACCCGAUGAGUACUUACUUUAUGAGUAGAGAUUUAAUUAUUAAAAAAAACAUAAUUCAAAUGUUACCCUGGAGAGGCAAAAUAUACCAGAGGGAUAUUCAUAUAAAUUAUUCGAAAAUAAACAGACAACGCCAUCGCUAAAAAAGACAAACACAAACACAAAACACCAUAGAAAACUAUAUAAACUAUAUACAAAGACUGAGCAAUACGAACUCUAUCAAAAACUGAAACUAUCUAAAUACUGUCUUCAAAAAUAAAGAUGAUAUUUUUCAGGAAAAGGGAAAUUAGCAGCAAUCAGGUGAUAGCCUUCCAUGCGUACCUUUCAAUUGAUAUUUCUCCCUCUGGAAUCAACCACCCGAUAAAAUUUGACAAAGAGAUGACAGAUAAAGGACAAGCCUACAACCCUUACACUGGAGCAUAUACCGUACCUGAAACUGGGGUCUAUGUAUUUACAUGGACCAUUAUUGUAGUACAUACAGUUUGCGAUACCGAGCUUGUCUUGAAUAAUGCUGUUAUUGGACAAUCUUAUCCCGACUCUCAGCAUGAUAAUGACUACGCAUCAGCAACACAAAUAGUCGUAGUAGAGGCUAACCGCGGUGAUGCUGUUUCCGUUCGAGCUAAAACGGGCUGUUCGUCCAUCAUAGGCAAUACAGCAACACGAUCCGCUUUCAGCGGCUGGAAAUUGUUAUAAUAAAACAA